CCUACGGGAGGCAGCAGUAGGGAAUCUUUCACAAUGGGCGAAAGCCUGAUGGAGCAACGCCGCGUGCAGGAUGAAGGCCUUCGGGUUGUAAACUGCUUUUAUAAGCGAGAAAUAUGAUGGUAACUUAUGAAUAAGGAUCGGCUAACUACGUGCCAGCAGCCGCGGUCAUACGUAGGAUCCGAGCAUUAUCCGGAGUGACUGGGUGUAAAGAGUUGCGUAGGUGGCAUAAUAAGUAGCUAGUGAAAUCUGGUGGCUCAACCAUUCAGACUAUUAGCUAAACUGUUAAGCUCGAGACCGUUAGGGGUAAGUGGAAUGUCUAGUGUAGGAGUGAAAUCCGUAGAUAUUAGAAGGAACACCAAUAGCGUAGGCAGGUUGCUGGGACGGUUCUGACACUAAGGCACGAAAGCGUAGGGAGCAAACGGGAUUAGAUACCCGUGUAGUC
rnacentral:rRNA from 1 species